rnacentral:rRNA from 1 species
GACGAACGCUGGCGGCGUGCUUAACACAUGCAAGUCGAGCGGUAAGGCCCUUCGGGGUACACGAGCGGCGAACGGGUGAGUAACACGUGGGUAACCUGCCCUGUACUCUGGGAUAAGCCUUGGAAACGAGGUCUAAUACCGGAUAUGACACCGAACUGCAUGGUUUGGUGUGGAAAGUUCCGGCGGUACAGGAUGGACCC